GCCUGGGUGGCUCAGUCGGUUAAGCAUCCGACUUCAGCUCAGGUCACGGUCUCGUGGUUUGUGAGUUCAAGUCCCGCAUCAGGCU
rnacentral:tRNA from 1 species